GUUGUCCAUAGUGUAGUGGUUAUCACGUUUGCCUUACACGCAAGAGGUCCCUGGUUCGAGACCGGGUGGAAACA